GAGUUUGAUCGUGGCUCAGGAUGAACGCUAGCGGCAGGCCUAAUACAUGCAAGUCGGACGGGAUCUAUGGCUUCGGCUUUAGUGAGAGUGGCGGACGGGUGCGUAACGCGUGAGCAACCUACCCAUGCCAGGGGGACAGCCCGGGGAAACUCGGGUUAAUCCCGCAUGUUGCGUUGGGGUCGCAUGACCUUUACGCUAAACAAUUUCGGGGCAUGGAUGGGCUCGCGAGGCAUUAGCUAGUCGGCGGGGUAACGGCCCACCGAGGCGAUGAUGCCUAGGGGCCCUGAGAGGGGGAUCCCCCACACCGGUACUGAGACACGGACCGGACUCCUACGGGAGGCAGCAGUAGGGAAUAUUGGUCAAUGGGCGGAAGCCUGAACCAGCCAUGCCGCGUGCGGGACGAAGGCCCUACGGGUCGUAAACCGCUUUUCUUCGGGAACAGUCCCCGCCACGAGUGGCGGGUCGAGGGUACCGUUGGAAUAAGGAUCGGCUAACUCCGUGCCAGCAGCCGCGGUAAUACGGAGGAUCCGAGCGUUAUCCGGAUUCAUUGGGUUUAAAGGGUGCGCAGGCGGCCUAUUAAGCAGGGGGUGAAAUAUGGCGGCUCAACCGCCUUACUGCCUCCUGAACUGUUGGGCUUGGAUGCCGUUGGGGGCGGCGGAAUGGGGCAAGUAGCGGUGAAAUGCAUAGAUAUGCCCCGGAACACCGAUCGCGGAGGCAGCUGCCCAAACGGUCAUCGACGCUGAUGCACGAAAGCGUGGGGAUCGAACAGGAUUAGAUACCCUGGUAGUCCACGCCGUAAACGAUGAUGGCUCGGUGCCGGCGACAGACUGUCGGUGCCCAAGCGAAAGCGUUAAGCCGUCCACCUGGGGAGUACGGCCGCAAGGCUGAAACUCAAAGGAAUUGACGGGGGCCCGCACAAGCGGAGGAGCAUGUGGUUUAAUUCGAUGAUACGCGAGGAACCUUACCCGGGCUUGAAAGUUAGCGAUGGGGUCGGAGACGGC
rnacentral:rRNA from 1 species